UACGUAGGGUGCGAGCGUUGUCCGGAAUUAUUGGGCGUAAAGAGCUUGUAGGCGGUUUGUCGCGUCUGCCGUGAAAAUCCGGGGCUCAACCCCGGACUUGCGGUGGGUACGGGCAGACUAGAGUGUGGUAGGGGAGACUGGAAUUCCUGGUGUAGCGGUGAAAUGCGCAGAUAUCAGGAGGAACACCGGUGGCGAAGGCGGCAUCCUGGACCACGACUGACGCUGAUGAGCGAAAGCCAGGGGAGCAAACGGG
rnacentral:rRNA from 1 species